GACGAACGCUGGCGGCGUGCUUAACACAUGCAAGUGGAGCGACGAACCGGACUUCGGCCCGUGGCAGAGCCGCGAACGGGUGAGUAACACGUGGGUAACCUACCCCGAUGACCGGGACAACCCGAGGAAACUCGGGCUAAUACCGGAUGUUCUCACUUCUCGUAAGGGAAGUGAGCAAAGAUAGCUUCGGCCUUCGCAUCGGGACGGGCCCGCGGCCCAUUAGCUUGUUGGUGGGGUAAUGGCCUACCAAGGCUUCGAUGGGUAGCUGGUCUGAGAGGACGAUCAGCCACACUGGGACUGAGACACGGCCCAGACUCCUACGGGAGGCAGCAGUGGGGAAUCUUGCGCAAUGCGCGAAAGCGUGACGCAGCAACGCCGCGUGGGGGAAGAAGGCCUUCGGGUUGUAAACCCCUUUCAGUUGGGACGAAGCUCCGUCGGUUAAUAGCCGGCUGGAGUGACGGUACCUUCAGAAGAAGCCCCGGCUAACUACGUGCCAGCAGCCGCCGUAACAC
rnacentral:rRNA from 1 species